AAUUUCUUUCAUAGAUUUUUUGUUCAAUACUUUCUCUUCCAAGAAAAGUGCAUUGUUCAAAAACUUGUGCUACUCUUCUUCUUCAUUCACUUCUUUCUCUUGUCAAAAGAUUCAAAGGACUAACCGCCUGAGAAUUAUUUUGUUUCUUCCCUUCUUCUUCUUGACAAAAGAUUUCAAAGGACUAACCGCCUGAGAUAUCUUCUAUUUCUUACAAAAGAUUUCAAAGGACUAACCUCCUGAGAUAUCUUUUUCCCUUUCCCUUUAUACAAAAGAUUUCAAAGGACUAACCGCCUGAGAUAUCUUCUAUUUCUUACAAAAGAUUUCAAAGGACUAACCUCCUGAGAUAUCUUUUUCCCUUUCCCUUUAUACAAAAGAUUUCAAAGGACUAACCGCCUGAGAUAUCUUUUGUAUCCCCCUCACAGAGAAUUCAAGGGACUAACCGCCUAAGAAUUCUUUGUCCUAACACAUUGGAGG
rnacentral:lncRNA from 1 species